GGCCGUGUAUUUCAGUGGUAGAAGGUUCGCCUCCUAAAGGUUCACUUUUCAGAACAGCGAAAGGUCCGCGGUUCGAACCCGCGCUCGGUCG
rnacentral:tRNA from 1 species